UGAGUAACACGUGGGCAACCUGCCCUUUGCACUGGGAUAGCCUCGGGAAACCGAGGUUAAUACCGGAUACUCCAUAUUUGUCGCAUGGCGGAAAUAUGGGGAAAAGCUCCGGCGGCAAAGGAUGGGCCCGCGGCCUGUUAGCUAGUUGGUGGGGGUAGUGGCCUACCAAGGCAAUGAUGGGUAGCCGGGUUGAGAGACCGACCGGCCAGAUUGGGACUGAGACACGGCCCAGACUCCUACGGGAGGCAGCAGCC
rnacentral:rRNA from 1 species